rnacentral:rRNA from 1 species
GGUAUGCAUAAUCAUUAGUCUUUUAAUUGAAGGCUUGUAUGAAUGGUUGGACAAAAAGUAAGCUGUCUCAGUUAUAAUAAUUGAAUUUAACUUUUAAGUGAAAAGGCUUAAAUGGAUUAAGGGGACGAUAAGACCCUAUGAAAGCUUGACAAUAAGUUAAUUAUAUUAUAAAUUGUUAGUAUAACUUGAUUUUAAUUGACGUUUGUUACGUUGGGGCGACGAGAAUA